UUCACACGAACGGAGUUUAACGGGUGUUUGUUUGAUGCUGCUCAUGACGGGCAGUUAUUAGUUUAACAUUAGUAGUCCAUUUUAUCUGAAGCGAGUGUAGAAUGCUACCGUUAGUUCAUCUCAGGGAACAUAACAAACUUUACAAGUAGCCUACUGCAAAACAAAGUUACAGAGUUCGACAGAACCUAAGUUUGUGAGUGGAGCGUUUAUUUCUGUUGCAAUGUUUUUGAGUUUUACUACUUCACUCGGCAAUCUUUUUUCAUUUCUAUAGAAGAAUGUAGCAGUGUUCCAGUAAUAUGUGUAGACACUUCAUCACGUAUAACUUUAUUUGCACAAUGCAAGAUCAACAGGAUGUUAAACAAUGUGGAAAUGUUGGCAAAGAGGGUACUUUUGGACUUUGGACUUCUUCCUGCAGUAGAUGCAUAUUUGCAUGUAAAAGACUGUAUACCUAACACUAGACUGUUCACUAAAAUCAAAUGGAUUAAUAUAAUGAUUUCUGAUAGCACAACAAAACCUUAGUUCAGGGAUUCUCAAAGUUAUUUGUCAGCUUAACUCUUUUGAUGUAAAAUAUUUUAAGUUAUAACUUGUGUAGUUAUGAAUAAUGUGUACAGUUAAUGUGUGAUGCAAUGAAUCCAUGUAUGAAAUUAUUUCACAUGAAUAUAAUAUUGAAAGUGGGAAGACCGAAACAUUCUGUACAAUGCAAUACAUCAAAUCCACUGUGAAAUAAAAGUGCAAAUAAUACAAAAACUUAUACUGUGAUAUGUGAACAACUUGUUUGUUUUAGAUAUGUCAGUGACUUUUUUUUUUUUCUUUAGUGAAUGUAUAUGAUUGCAGGUAAGUACAUGUGUCCAUGCUUAACACUGUAUGCUAAAAUACAAUAUAAACAGACAGUAAGUUUAUCCUGCAAGAAUAGUAGCCGGUUUAAUAUGAGUCCUGCAGGAAUGAGCAAGAUGAUUCAUGCACAAGGCUUAAAAAAACCUACAGCUAUAGAUCUAAUCCUACAGGAAUUCAAAAUUCACGUAGGUAGUGGUCCUGCGGGACAAUUGUGUGUUCACUUGAGUUUAAAAAAAGUGCAUCUCUACAGAAAUCACCUGUAAAUGAUAGCAAGUGGAGUAUAUGGUUUCAAAUGAGAAGUAGAUUAGUAUUUUAUUGUUUCCCAAAACAAAGGAGAAUUGAAACUAAGUGCUUCGUACUACUUACUAAACCUGAUUUCCAUUUAUCAACUUGAUCAUUGUGAUAAAUAUUCAUGGAACGGAUAUAUUGCAUCCAUGCUUUAUACAGUGGGUACGUAAAGUAUUCAGACCCCCUUACAUUUUUCACUCUGUUAUAUUGCAGCCAUUUGCUAAAAUCAUUUAAGUUCUUUUUUUUUCUCAAUGUACACACAGCACCUCAUAUUGACAGAAAAACACAGAAUUGUUGACAUUUCUUUCAGAUUUAUUAAAAAAAAGAAAAACUGAAAUAUCACAUGGUCUUAAGUAUUCAGAUCCUUUGCUCAGUGUUUAGUAGAAGCACUCUUUUGAUCGAAAACAGCCAUGAGUCAUUUUGGGAAAGCUGCAACAGAACAGUCACAGAGUUGUUGUGAAGCCACUCCUUCGUUAUUUUAGCUGUGUGCUUAGGGUCAUUGUCUUGACAGAAGGUGAAUGUUCGACCCAGUCUGAGGUCCUGAGCACUCUGGAGAAGGUUUUCGUCCAGGUCCCUGUUCUUGGCCGCAUUCAUCUUUCCCUCGAUUGCAACCAUUCGUCCUGUCCCUGCAGCUGAAAAACACCCCCACAGCAUGAUGCUGCCACCACCACGCUUCACUGUUGGGACUGUAUAGGACAGGUGAUGAGCAGUGCCUGGUUUUCUCCACAUAUACCGCUUCGAAUUAAGGCCAAAAAGUUCUAUCUUUGUCUCUUCAGAUCAGAGAAUCCUUCAGGUGUUUUUUAGCAAACUCCAUGGGGGCUUUCAUGUGUCUUGCACUGAGGAGAGGCUCUGACUGGUGGAGGGUUGCAGUGAUGGUUGACUUUCAACAACUUUCUCCCAUCUCCCCACUGCAUGUCUGGAUCUCAGCCACAGUGAUCUUUGGGUUCUUCUUUACCUCUCUCACCAAGGCUCUUCUCCCCCGAUAGCUCAGUUUGGCUGGACGGCCAGCUCUAGGAAGGGUUCUGGUCAUCCCAAACGUCUUCCAUUUAAGGAUUAUGGAGGCCACUGUGCUCUUAGGAACCUUAUGUGCAGCAGAAUUUUAAAUACCUUGUCUUUCGUCCAUUUUAAUUAUAGCUGUCUAUAGUUUGAACGAAGACCUCAUAAUCAUAUUGUAAGGUUAUAAGUGACUUGUUUUCUUUGAGUAAUAAGUUGUGUAUGGUAAUAUUCAAAUUGUAGCGUGCAUGAGUGACCGCAGCUCCAUGUUUUUUUAACCUUGAAAAUGAUGUCAAGGUUAUUUGAUGAAAUGUUUGUUUUUGUCAAACCCCCAUAUGACUCUCUUUCACUCUAAGUUUAGGUAUAGAGCAAGCUUUGUUUGCUUUAACUGGACGUCUCAGUUUAGCUCCUGCUAGCAGUAUCAUGGGAAAUCACUCCUUUGGCCUGUGUGUCUGUAUAAAGCUUUACUUUCAUAAAGCAUGUUAACAUUGGUUCUGUGAAAUGUAUGAAUGUACACUGUUCAUAAUAUAUAUUCUGUGUUCCACAAAGAAAGUAAGUCAUUCAGAUUUAGAAUGUGACAUGAAAAUUUUAAUUUGUGGGUGAACUGUCCCUGAUGCAGGUCAGAGCUUCUCACAUAAAAUCUCACAUGAGAAUGCUAAAUCUUUACCAAGAUACAAGUAACUUUUAAACCAAAAUCUUUUAUGCAUGAUACAGUCUAGAGUAGGUUAUCUUUAACCACUUUAAGGAACAACAUGACGAUAUAGUACUUCUGUCUGUAAUCAGAAACAUGACUAAUUGAAAUUGAAGCCAUGUGCUAUAUUUGUCUACAUCUGUGUGUAAAUGACUUCUAAUUAGAUUUGGAAAAUGUUAAACUCACAUCAAACUCUUCAAAGAGGUUUUUUUUUUUUUUUACUUGAAGGGAUUUUUCACCCAAAAAUAAAAAAAAUUACCCUAAGAUUUACUCACCCCUCAAGCCAUCCUAGGAGUCUAUAACUUUCUUCCUUCAGACAAACGCAAUUGGAAUAUAUAUAUAUAUAUAUAUAUGUUCUAAAUUCCCUAUGUGUGUUUAUAGUGGAAGGACUAUUAUUAUGAAUGUGUGCCGCUAGUUUAUGUGAGUUCCGCUAUUCCGGUUUCACUUUCACUUUCAAUAGCCGAUUGCUGCGCCAUUUUCAUCAGGUGUUAAUGUGCGUGAUUGAAUGUAAGUUUAUUUAAUCAUUCCUGAUUAUAGGUCAGCUAUGUUAAUUUCGUUGUUGUGUUUAAAUACUCAACUUGUGUAAUCGAACUUUACAUUGUUUAUAAUGUUGUUAUAUUUAAGAUAUACAGUGAUUCAAAUGUGUAUGCUCACUACCGUUAAUCCUCUCAUGUUGAUUAAUGUAUAAUGUGACAGUAGAAAGUUGUUAGUUCCAUUACAGGUCUGUAAUUUACAUUUAGCAGAUGUAAACUGAUGUUUGUUUAUUCUGUUUAUUUCAGAAAGACCACAUUUAACACUUUGUGGCCAUAACUUGUACAAAAUCCAGUCUAAUUGAAGCAAUGUUGUGCCAUCUGCUGUGAACCCUCAAAUACUUCAGAUAAAGAGUUGAACAGUGCCCUGUCUCCUGUCACACUUCUUACCGGAGUCCCGUGGUGGAUUAGCAUCAACACCCCUACCGAUCUAUUAGUCCCGUUCAUUUUGGUCCUUCGAGCCGGAUGCUAUAUUCACUUCGGUGAUAUGGAGCAACAGAGCCUACUUCAUUCCCCUGAUACGACACACGGUGUUCGCACACAGGCGAGAGCACGUCAGCUUUCCACACGUCUGCAAGCUUAUGAUGUAGCCUUGCCGAAGUCUCUCAUACCAGACCCUGUUCUUCACGAAACUUCAUACCACCUACCAAGGAUGGAUUCUCCAGCAGCGCAGUUCGACCUCAGUGGACAGGCCGAGCCAGUCUCGACUGUGGAGCAGCUGCCCAUGGGUGAUCUAUCGCUGGUGCAGUAUGGAGAAGUAUCCGCUAUGAGUCAUCAGUUGGAUGUUGAGAGAUCUGUCGGUCAUCUUAGCUCUUCAGUAGCUCCUCCAGGGUAUCACAGCCCAUCCGAGUGUGAUUCAUUCAGUAGUGGUGCUGCAUCACCCAUAUUCCAGGUAGAUGUACGAGCCCAAACUACUUCACCACCUGUAGUCAGACCAAAGGCUACUGCAGUCUCAUCUGUCCCGCUUCCGCAUUUAGGCCAGUCAUUUCAAGCUCAGACAGCCCACAUUGAUAUUUCUCAGCAGUCAGUUUUGUGGCACGUAACACAAGGCACCCUUCCUGCUGCAUAUGGUACUACUUCGACAUAUCGUGGUGCUCCCCCCUUAUCUGUACCACAUGUAACGCCACAGCAGGGGGUUCUGUUCAGCACAGUAGAUUCUACAUGUCAGCUUACCUCAUCACUGCCACAUACUGUUACUUCAGUGAAGCUGCCUUUGACCACUACAGCGUAUAGGCCUUUAGUACCCCCUGUAUAUCAGUUACAGGCUCACAUGCCGAGCCAAGCCACACGGCAGUCGUUCGCUGUCUCUGACCCGUAUCGCCCUCCUCUACAGACUGCUGGGUAUCACCCUGCUCAGCCUCCCGUCCACACUCCUGUGCAGCCUGGGUAUCCCCCUUCAGUGGUUCGCCAGCCACCACCUCCUUUUCCAGUUUACCAGCCUCUGCCAGUUACACCCCAGCUACAACCAGUUCCCAUUCCAGCCUUGCCUAAGCUUGUGAACGAUAGUGAGAGGGAGUUCACAGACCUGAAGAUGGCCUUGGAUAAUCUUCUCAAUCCUCACACCGAGCUUACAGAGCACUAUAAAUACAGGGUACUGAUGGAGCAGUUGGUUCUUGAGGAAGCUAGGUUAAUUGCCCAAGCAUGCCGACAUCAUCCUGCGCCCUAUAUGGCAGCUAUGAUAGCAUUGCAACGACAGUAUGGCCAGCCUCAUCAACUGGCACAGAGCGAGAUCGCAGCCUUGCUGAACUCACCUGAUAUUAGAGUUGGUGAUGCAAAGGCCUUUCAGAGUUUUGCACUCAAUGUUGACUUACUAGUUGGUAUGCUGAUGUCACUCGAGGGGCCACAGGGCCGAGAGCUCUCUUGUACAGGGCAUGUCGAUAGAUUACUCAGUAAGUUGCCCAAACACUACCGAGACAGCUUUAUAGAGCAUUUACAGUUACGAGGCCGAUUGCACACUGACAGCCUAAAUCCAUAUAACCUGCAUGACCUUGCUGACUGGUUGAAGGUCAAGGCGGAAGCGCAGUGUUUAUCUACCAAGAUGGUGCAGCGCUACCAGACAGAGAGAGUACAGGUCUCACGUAAGGACCGCCAGUCUGUACCCAAGCCCCAGACUCGAUCCACUGCAGUCUAUCAUGGAAGUGAACAGCCCAUGGAAGCUAGCACAGGGCAGUCUGUCCACACCAAUGCUGCUAAUUCUCAGUCAUCGGCCAGGAGACUGAAGCGUUUGUGUCUGUUCUGUAAGAGUCAGGAGCAUUACCUGUCACAGUGUAGCAAAAUCACUGAGUGCUCACCUGAUCAGAUUCUGAAGUGGAUAAAGGAUGGGAAAAGAUGCUGGAAAUGUGGACGCACAAGUCAUAAAUGGGAGGAAUGUACUCUGAAGAAGCCCUGCAGGGAUUGUGGUAAUAUACAUCUCGGAGUGCUGCAUUCCAUUGCCCAGGAUGGUCCUAGCAGUGUGCUGCUGACAACUUCUCACGAGCGUGCAUAUCUCACUUCUCCUAGUUUCACGGGUCGUGUGUACUUGAAAGUAGUUCCAGUGCUUCUGUGGAGAGGCAAGAUGUCUAUUUCAACUUACGCUAUCUUGGAUGAUGGGGCUCAGCGGAGUAUCAUCCUUCCUGCAGCUGUCCAGCAACUUGGUAUUGAUGGAAGAGAAGAGAUUAUGGCCCUUCGUACCAUCCGACAUGACAUCACAGAAUUGAAGGGGCAGUCAAUUGACUUGCUGCUUUCCCCACAGUCAAGGCCAGAGGAGAAGCACAGCCUUACAGGUAUCUUCACCGCGCCUCUCCUCACGCUUACUGAGCAAACCUACCCUAUCAAGAGGCUCCAGCGAUGUUAUCACCAUCUCAGAGGGAUACCCAUUCCAUCUUUCGCUAGGGUCCAACCCUUAAUUUUAAUUGGGUCUGAUUAUCCUACAUUAAUUACCCCAAAGGAGCCCAUCAGAUUGGGCCCAGCGGGCGGACCAGUCGCUGUACGCACGCAGCUCGGUUGGGUCCUCCAGGGACCAGAUGGAUUGCUCCCACAUCAGAUACCUUCAUCUCAGUGUUUGUUCACUUCUCUUACACCACUGCGAGAUCCUGUCUAUCAGCAUGUUGAACGACUCUGGCAGCUUGAUGUCCUUCCAUCUCGCAGCGAGAAAGUGAUAACUCGGUCUAAACAGGAUCAGAUGGCUGCAGACAUGUUGGAGACCAAGACGCGACGAGUAGAAGUUGACGGAGUCCGGCGCUACGCUACUCCACUCCUUCGUGCGCCAAACGCUCCACCGCUGAAGGGGACUAUGGAAUCCGUUUUGUCCAGCCUCAGGAACACUGAGAAACACCUGAGUAGAGACCCUGAGAGGGCUAAGGUGUACGAAGCUGAAAUACAGAAGCUCCUUGAUUCAGGGUAUGUUGUCAGGGUACCAUCAGAAGGCCAGCAUGUAGACGAGGAGUCGUGGUUCAUACCACACCACCUCGUGCAGCAUAAUGACAAGUACAGGUUGGUCUUCAAUUGUUCCUUUGCCUACCAAGGUAUGUCUCUUAACCAGCAGUUGCUUCCAGGUCCUACCCUCGGUGCCUCACUGCUAGGAGUACUUGUGCGGUUCCGGCAGUACGCGGUAGCCAUCAGUGGGGAUAUACGUGGUAUGUUCCACCAAGUGAGACUCCUACCGGAGGAUAGACCCCUUCUGAGGUUCAUUUGGAGGAACAUGCGCAGAAAGGACCCGCCAGACAUCUAUGAAUGGCAAGUCUUGCCUUUCGGGACGACCUGCAGCCCCUGCUGCGCCACCUUCGCGCUGCAGAUGCACGUUCGCUGCCAGCAGUUCGGCAAUGAGGAAGUAUUGCAGUCCAUAGAGCGGAGCUUCUACGUGGACAACUGCCUACAGAGCCUUCCCACUGCUGAGGAAGCCAAGCGACUCAUUGACAAGAUGAGGCCUCUCUUAGCCUCCGGGGGCUUUGAAAUCAGACAGUGGGCCACUAAUAUCCCUUCUGUUGUCCAGCACCUCCCAUCUAAAGCUCGUUCAGAGAGCAUUGACCCUCUAGGAUUCUCCAUUCCUUUCACCACCCGUGCCAAGGUUCUCGUUCAGAGACUCUGGAACAAACCGAGAGAUUGGGAUGAUCCGAAUCUUCCUGCAGACCUGCUGGAGAAGUGGACCGUAUGGGAGAAGGAGCUGCCUGAUCUCUAUAAGCUCACGCUUCCAAGGUGCUAUCUUCCUGCUGACUUUGAUGUGGAGAAAUCAAAAUUAAGCCUUCAUGUGUUUGGCGAUGCAUCCGAGGUUGCCUAUGGGUCGGUGGCUUAUCUCCGUGCAGAGCAACACAGUAAGAUCCACACUACCUUUGUCAUGGCUCGCUCUAGGGUAGCCCCCAAGCGUCAACUGUCGAUGCCACGUCUCGAGCUGUGUGCAGCAUUGACUAGCGCUCAGCUUGCACAGUUUCUCAAACAGGAGCUAACCAUUGCCAUAGAGACAGUGACAUUAUGGACUGACUCGACUACAGUACUGACCUGGAUCCAGUCUGAGUCCUGUAGAUACAAAGUGUUCGUCGGGACAAGAGUGGCAGAAAUACAAGAGUUGACUGAGCUCCACUCUUGGCGAUACGUUGACUCCUCAAAUAACCCGGCGGACGAUAUUACCAGAGGGAGAACGCUCAAGGAGCUGGCUAACUCUGACAUGUGGAGUCGAGGCCCAGGAUUCCUCCGUGAACCGCCAGAUCAUUGGCCAGUCAAGCCCCUGGCAGAGGCCCGAGAGGAUACCUUAGAAACAAGGAAAGCUGUUUUCUGUGGAUUAGUCACAGACGAUCGAAAUCCAGACAUGCCUGAUGCAUCUCAGUAUACUUCUUGGAGUGCCUUAGUCGACGCGACCUACCGGUCCCUCCAUGGGGCGGCCGCCCAAGAUACUAGUAAAGCAUCCUUAGAAUACAGGCGUGCAGAAGCUCUUAUCUUGAGUCAAUGUCAGGAGGAGUCUUUCCCAGAGGAAUUCAAGGCCUUAAAAUCAGGGAACCAGGUGCCCACAGCCAGCCGUCUGAACACGCUUGCACCCGAGUUCGACCCUGAGUUCUGCCUAAUUCGUGUGGGAGGUAGGCUACGGCGAUUGGAUGGCUUCAGCAAAACCGAGAUACACCCAGUGGUUCUAGAUCCCCAUCAUCAGGUGACAAAACUCAUCGUUAAGCACUUUGAUGAGCGUCUACUCCAUCCAGGACCUGAUAGGGUCUUCGCAGAGCUCCGUCGCCAUUUCUGGAUCCUAAGGGGCAGGCAAGCCAUCAAACGACACCAGAGAGAGUGCGUAGAAUGUCAGAAGUGGAGAGCUAAGCCGACUCUACCUAUUAUGUCUGACUUACCCUCAGCUCGCCUAAGAUUGUACCAACCCCCCUUCUUCUCUACUGGAGUCGACUGCUUCGGGCCAUUCAUGGUUAAGAUUGGCCGUCGGACGGAGAAGCGAUGGGGCGUCAUCUUCAAGUGCCUGACAACCAGAUGCAUUCACCUUGACCUGCUCAGCAGCAUUGACACUGAUGCAUUCUUACUGGCAUUAAGGCGCUUCAUAGCACGCAGAGGAACCCCAUCUGAGAUCAUAUCAGAUCAGGGUACUAACUUCCGGGGAGCCGAGACCAAACUGAGAGAAGCUUUCAAGGAGAUGGAGCCCAGACUGCAGGAGCAGCUGGCUAGUUAUCAGAUCACUUUUAGGAUGAAUCCUCCCGCUGUACCCCACUUCGGAGGCGCAUGGGAAAGGGAGAUCCGAUCUGUAAAGUCUGCACUGCGAGUAGUCAUCGGGAGUCAGUCUGUGCCUGAAGAUGUCCUACAGACUGUACUGACCGAAGUAGAGGGUAUCCUGAACAGCAAGCCCUUGGGAUACGUUUCAUCCGACGUGGCAGACUUGGAUCCAAUAACCCCAAAUAUGCUUCUCAUGGGGCGGCGAGACGCCUCGCUUCCCCAGGUGGUCUACACCCCUGAGCCCUUGUCCAAGCGUCGCUGGCGUCAUUCCCAGACUAUCAUCGAUCAUUUCUGGUCUUACUUUACACGACACUACCUACCGGGUCUCCAGACUCGCCAGAAAUGGCAGCGGGUAACUCAAGAUCUAGCUGAGAACACGGUGGUCAUGAUAAUCGACCCGCAGCUUCCCAGAGCCCAAUGGCCAAUUGGUCGGGUUGUCAAACUGAUACCCAGUGCUGAUGGACAUGUCAGGUCAGCUCAAGUACAGGUCAAUGAUCGCCUAUACCUACGACCUGUGGCCAAACUUGUCAGACUCCCGGCACUACCGGACGGAGGUGAAGCGGACUCCAAUGACUAGGGAAUUUAUCAUUAGACAUAUUAGCUAUGCUAAUCUGGGGGCGGCUGUUCUAAAUUCCCUAUGUGUGUUUAUAGUGGAAGGACUAUUAUUAUGAAUGUGUGCCGCUAGUUUAUGUGAGUUCCGCUAUUCCGGUUUCACUUUCACUUUCAAUAGCCGAUUGCUGCGCCAUUUUCAUCAGGUGUUAAUGUGCGUGAUUGAAUAAAGACCACAUUUAACACUUUGUGGCCAUAACUUGUACAAAAUCCAGUCUAAUUGAAGCAAUGUUGUGCCAUCUGCUGUGAACCCUCAAAUACUUCAGAUAAAGAGUUGAACAGUG